CUAUAAACCUGGCAGGGGAGAUACCAUGAUCAUGAAGGUGGUUUUUCCAGGGUGAGGUUCAUCCAUUGCAGUCCAGGUGUGCUGACCCCUGCGAUUUCCCCAAAUGCGGGAAACUCGACUGCAUAAUUUGUGCAUUUCUUUUCUCAAAUGUCUUUUAAAAACA